UUACGACUACAUAUCAGGCAUAUCAAUAAGCGGAGGAAAAGAAACUAACUAGGAUUCCCUUAGUAACGGCGAGUGAAGCGGGAAGAGCUCAAAUUUGAAAUCUUCAAGGUUUUACCUUGACGAAUUGUAGUUUAAAGAAGUGUUUUCUGUUGAAGUUUUGGUAAAAGUUCUUUGGAAUAGGACAUCAUAGAGGGUGAGAAUCCCGUAUUUGACCAUUAUUUCCAGCUGUGUGAUACACUUUCAAAGAGUCGGAUUGUUUGGGAAUGCAGUCCAAAAUGGGUGGUAAAUUUCAUCUAAAGCUAAAUAUUGGCGAGAGACCGAUAGCGAACAAGUACCGUGAGGGAAAGAUGAAAAGAACUUUGAAAAGAGAGUUAAACAGUACGUGAAAUUGUCAAAAGGGAAGCGUUUGACACCAGUGUUGUUUUCUCGAAAAUCAAUUAAAAAUAGUUGGAUUUUGUGUUGUAUUGACCUUAACAGCUUGCUUCACUCUUUUCCAGCUUUUUUUAAUGCACUUUUCGUUUAACAAGUCAACAUCAGUUUCUUUUGUUGUAAAAGGGUCAUUGGAAGGUGGCUUCUCUUUCGGAGAAAGUGUUUAUAGCCUUUGCUCUCUGCAAUCGGAGAGAUUGAGGUCUGCAGCGUAGAUCCUUCGGGGUUAGAUACAUUUGUGCUAAGUUAUAGCCUUUCAUAGACAACUUGUUGACUAUGAUCAGUCAUGUAACUUACUCGCUCAUGCUAUUUUACCUACGCUUAGGAUGUUGAGCGCAUGUCUCUCUCU
rnacentral:rRNA from 1 species